ensembl:lncRNA
CCAAAUUGUUAAAAUAGGCAUGACGUUUCCUUUGCCUUGGGCAGUUGGCCUGGGCACAUUGCAGGUGCUCCAAGGCUAAAUUUUCCCGUGGUAUCCACUUGUGUUCCAUGUACCCAGUUGUCUCUACGUCAGCUCUCGCAGUUAUUAAGAGGUAGCCCAAACACUUGCCCAUGUCCACAUGUCCAAUGUAAACUCAUGAAGAGCGACUGGAGGCUAAUAUCAUGGAUAGACUGGGACUGGAAUCACAGGUCAAUUUAUUCUGGAAGUCAUGGAAGGCAGCUGGGGCCUAUCCACCCACAGUCUGGGCUCUGCUUUCUAACAAGCUCGGCAGAGCCAGUCCAUGAGGGGUCCGAUUGGAGGAUGGCUGAGCAGCCCCAGGGGGUUCACAGAGAGCACAGUUUCCCCGGGGGGACUUGUUGCCUUUGUGCUGUCCCUCAGUAGCAGCGCUGCCAGUGUCACCAGGAUCACAUCACAUGUCAGCGCGCUGAAGUUUGCAGACUGGGAGCCGCAUGGAGCCCAUCAGGUUCCUGUGAUAACCACGCAGUUGGCCCUCUACUUUGUACUGCAGCAACCAUUCAUGCCCCGAACAUUAACUGUGCUUUUGCAUGCCUGUCACACUUAAGAUUGUGCAGGCGUUCAAAGGCUUUUAAAGGGUUUUCUUUUUUCAACUUUAUUCACGCCGUCUCUCUCUCACUCAUCCAUAAAGAAAGUAAAUUGCAAUCAUAAAUAGGUUUUGAUUGCUGUAAGUUUGUUGGAUGUUUGGCAGUUUUCCUUUUUUGUGAAGUUUGGUAUGACCUCAAAUAAACCUUAACAACAUAUACACUUAAAAAAAGGCAGUGACAAACAGUAAUAUGUACAUUUAAGGUACUAAUGUACACAUUUUAGGGAUAAAAAAGGUAAGUCACAGCGUCAUUUUAGUCACACAUAAUAAAU